rnacentral:rRNA from 1 species
UACGUAGGGUGCAAGCGUUGUCCGGAAUUAUUGGGCGUAAAGAGCUCGUAGGCGGUUUGUCGCGUCUGCUGUGAAAUCCCGAGGCUCAACCUCGGGCCUGCAGUGGGUACGGGCAGACUAGAGUGCGGUAGGGGAGAUUGGAAUUCCUGGUGUAGCGGUGGAAUGCGCAGAUAUCAGGAGGAACACCGAUGGCGAAGGCAGAUCUCUGGGCCGUAACUGACGCUGAGGAGCGAAAGCGUGGGGAGCGAACAG